rnacentral:rRNA from 1 species
GUAUUAGAGGCACUGCCUGCCCAGUGACUCCAGUUAAACGGCCGCGGUAUCCUGACCGUGCAAAGGUAGCAUAAUCACUUGUUCUCUAAAUAGGGACUUGUAUGAACGGCCUCACGAGGGUUUAACUGUCUCUUACUUUUAAUCAGUGAAAUUGACACUCCCGUGAAGAGGCGGGAAUUAAAAAAUAAGACGAGAAGACCCUAUGGAGCUUUAAUUAACUAAUUUACAAAUUAUAAUAUUAAUCUAUAAGAAAUAAAUCAAAAUUAACUAAAUUAGCAAUUUAGGUUGGGGCGACCUCGAAAUAAAAACUAACUUUCGAGAAAAUUCACUAAGGCUUACAAGCCAAGGUUAUCCAAUCAUACAUUGAUCCGCUAUAAGCGAUCAACGAAAUAAGUUACCCUAGGGAUAACAGCGCAAUCCUAUUUAAGAGUCCAUAUCGACAAUUAGGGUUUACGACCUCGAUGUUGGAUCAGGACAUCCCAGUGGUGUAGCAGCUAUUAAUGUGUUCGUUUGUUCAACGAUUAAAGUCCUACGUGAUCUGAGU